rnacentral:rRNA from 1 species
UUAUCGUUCAUUAUACAUGGGGCAAGGAGUCUAACAUGCGCGCGAGUCGUUGGGUCGGACACGCUCCGCUAAACCCAUAGGCGCAAUGAAAGUGAAGGUCGCCCUCGCGGGACCGAGGGAGGACGGAGGCGCGCUCGCGCGCCUCCCGCACUCCCGGGGCGUCUGAUUCCUCUUUUUGAGGGAAGGCGCACCCAGAGCGCACACGUUGGGACCCGAAAGAUGGUGAACUAU